rnacentral:ncRNA from 1 species
GUCAUUGCGAUAAUAAUCCUGCUCAGUACGAGAGAAACCGCAGGUCCGGACAUUUGGUUCACGCACUCGGUCGAGCGGCCGGUGGUGCGAAGCUACCAUCCGUGGGAUUAUGCCUGAACGCCUCUAAGGCCGUAUCCUCUCUAGUCAAAGGUGGCAAUGAU